rnacentral:rRNA from 1 species
UACGUAGGGUGCAAGCGUUGUCCGGAAUCAUUGGGCGUAAAGCGCGCGUAGGCGGCUCGAUCAGUCUGCUGUGAAAGUCAAAGGCUCAACCUUUGAAUGCCGGUGGAUACUGUCGAGCUAGAGUCCGGAAGAGGCGAGUGGAAUUCCUGGUGUAGCGGUGGAAUGCGCAGAUAUCAGGAGGAACACCAACGGCGAAGGCAGCUCGCUGGGACGGAACUGACGCUAAGGCGCGAAAGCGUGGGGAGCGAACAGG